AUUGAACGCUCGCGGGAUGCUUUACACAUGCAAGUCGAACGGCAGCGCGGACUUCGGUCUGGCGGCGAGUGGCGAACGGGUGAGUAAUGUAUCGGAACGUGCCCAGUAGCGGGGGAUAACUACGCGAAAGCGUAGCUAAUACCGCAUACGCCCUACGGGGGAAAGCAGGGGAUCGUAAGACCUUGCACUAUUGGAGCGGCCGAUAUCGGAUUAGCUAGUUGGUGAGGUAACGGCUCACCAAGGCGACGAUCCGUAGCUGGUUUGAGAGGACGACCAGCCACACGGGGACUGGAACACGGCCCAGACUCCUAAGGGAGGGAGCAGUGGGGAAUUUUGGACAAUGGGGGCAACCCUGAUCCAGCCAUCCCGCGUGUGCGAUGAAGGCCUUCGGGUUGUAAAGCACUUUUGGCAGGAAAGAAACGUCGCGGGCUAAUACCCCGUGGAACUGACGGUACCUGCAGAAUAAGCACCGGCUAACUACGUG
rnacentral:rRNA from 1 species